GUCAAAAAGGACGCGGGGCCCACGAGGCCCUAUAGGGCCCUAUAGGGGGCGGGGGGGGAGGGGGUCCUGGAGGCGGCUUUUAGGGCUUUAUAGGGCCCUAUGGGGCCUUAGAGCUGCCCUAUAGGGGCCGAAGGACCCCAUAAAGUUGAGCAAGAGGGGCCAUAUGGGGGUCUGUAGGUGCCCUAUAGGGGCUUAUAGGGUGCCCCAUAGGGGCCCUAUUGGUAUCUACAGCGAUCCUAAAGCUAUGGGGUCUUGCAGAUGCCAUAUAGGGACCCCAAAGAGGCUGAUAGAGGGCUAUAGGAACCUGAAACGACCCUAUAGGUGUCUAUGGGUACCUUAAAGCAGCCUUUGGGGCCUUUGGGGUGGGAUUCGGGGUCUCUGUGGGGUCUAUGGGGUGGGAUUUGAGGUCUAUAUGGGAUCCUGGGGUCUAUGGGGGGGGAUUUGAGGUCUGUAUGGGGUCUAUGGGGUCGGAUUUGGGGUCUAUAUGGGGUCUAUGGGGUGGGAUUUGAGGUCUAUAUGGGAUCCUGGGGUCUAUGGGGUGGGAUUCGGGGUCCAUAUGGGGAACUAUGGGAGUCUAUGGGGUGGGAUUUGAGGUCUAUAUGGGGUCUAUGGGGUCGGAUUUGGGGUCUAUAUGGGGUCUAUGGGGUGGGAUUUGAGGUCUAUAUGGGAUCCUGGGGUCUAUGGGGUGGGAUUCGGG
ensembl:lncRNA